GCAUUAUGUUGUGUGCAGAGAAAUAAUGCAAGCUGUAAGAUUCUCACCUGCAUUUCAGUGAGUUGAUCUGUUGUGAACCAAGAGUUGUUGUGGAAAGAGAAGUGCUUUUGGAAGACUUGUCACUUUGAACUAGAAACUCAUCCCUUGCACCACUUUCUGAAUGCAACAUUCCAUACUAUAAGUAGAACCCCACUAAGCGUACAUCAAUACAAGUUCUCAUUGGUCGAUUGGUUAAUGCCCACCAACAUCUCCUAGCACUAAGGAUAUCAGAUUAUCUUGGAAUACACCAAGUUCUGUGAUAUUUCCAAUACCAAUGAUAAGGAAGAAUUACAAUCUGGUGUUAUGGAAGGAGUCAAUCUCUUUGGGAAGUAAUGGAGCCAAAAGAAGGUAGUCUACUCUAGGUGCAGUUUGUUAUUAUUCUAUUGGUGAUUUGAAGCAUGGAGUUGAUGCCUCCUGCAAGUGA